rnacentral:lncRNA from 1 species
GCCCACAAAGAAGAGCUUAAGAACAGAAGAGAUUCCAGGUCCUUCCAGGCCAAUAAUUUCUUCCUACCAUUAGAAAAGGACACCGGGCUUGAAACCUGCCUGUUCCUGUGUUCUGUUCCCCAGCAUCCUUCACUGACGUAUUAUGGAUGUUUAAAGGUAAAUCUCUUAUCCUUUUAAUAUCUUCAUAAAUAUAUGGUAUGAAGAUAGGUAAUAUUUUUUGAGUGUUUUAGACAUAAGUUUUUUUUUAAUCUUCCCACUUUUUCUUGAACUUGCUCAUAGUGUCAGUCUCCAUAACUUUGUAGUGCAUCUUUUCACAACACAUCUCAGAUGUUCAUUCCGCUGUGUGCCAAAAAGUGCUUUUCUCUCUCUUGUUUCCAAAAAUAACUGUUUCUUCCUUUCUAGCUCCAAGUAUUGGUAUCGAUCUGAUUGCACAGUGAAGGAAAAAUCUUAGUGUAUUCCCUUUCCUUUUCUCUCUGUUCCUCCCUUUGCUGUUCCCUGGCUACCUUUGGUAGCUUUGAGCAUUGUACGUUAGCUCUGCUGUUUUCAACAGAAGUACAGUGUGGUAAGAAGGGGAAUAAAAAGGGUGAGAAAAAAUAUUUCCACUUUCUUCUCUAUCAGUAAUAUUUUUUCCUUCUAUUUCUAUAACAAUUUAUUCUUCUAUAUCAGUAAUAUAGGGGUUUUCAUUCUAUGCUAGAAUGGAAAUCAGAGCGUGAAGUCCUUAUCUGUCUGAGACACUGUUGACAAGGCAAUCUGUACUGAGAUAAGGAACAUAUUUUUUCACUCAUCAUUGUGACACUGACGCAUAAAUUUAAUACUUAAGCUUUUUUUUUUUUUUUUCUGACUGCUAUUGCUGGAUCAGUUGUAUGAGAUGGAUGGUACUGUUUGAUAUAGCUACAGAUAUAGAGUGCACUGCCAACUUCCUUAUCCAUCUUUUCUAAAAUGAAAAGAAUGAGGUGUGAUAUGGGACUUAGUGGUUCUGCUUCCCCUUCCAGCUCGUUCUCUGAUCUCUUUGCAGGCGCUGCCGCAAGGAAGUCAGACAGUAGAAACGAAAGCGAUCCAGUGCUUCGCCACUGUAACCUUCCUACCCACACCUGCCACUGCAACUCCUUUUCCUUUUUAAGAGAUCUUAACGGAAUCAGAGAUCCAGCGCACAUCCUGCAAGAGCAGGUAUGA